UGUUCUUGCAUGUGUCUUAUCUUGUAGUUUUGCUCCUUGAGUGUGUAUUGACUUCCUGUUUUAUUUUCGAUUCAGUUAUUUUUUACUUCCUGUGUUGGUUGUGAUUUCCCUCCACUGUGAUUGCGUGACGAGUUUCACCUGAGUGCAGUUCUCCCGGCCUCCUCAGCACCUUUGCUUUAGCUUGGUUCCCUCUUCUCACUCCUUGUGUUCUUAAGCCUCUCUGAUGUGGGAGGUUGAAAGCUGGCCGUCCGUCAGAUGACAGAUGGCUUUCUCCAACACUACACUGCGCCUGCAGCCUCCUGCUCACCCUGCACGCUGGUCACCUCUUUAGCCCUCUCACAUAAGGCGACAGACGGUUCCUCAGACUGACACCAUCGCUCAUAACGUGCAUCUGCUCCAAAUCAUCAGCCUCUUUCCCAUCCACUCCACACUGAGCCUAUACAUAGCCUGCAGGUUUGGGUGGAUUUCCUGAUGUGGGGAAAAGUGUGUGGCACUUUGAAGACGGCGCGUCACCUGAGAGCUGCGAUGCACGGGACUUCAGAGGAGAAACCCAGAACAUCUGCCAGGCAGGAUGUCUGACACAGACGCCGACAGGGAGCGCGACAUCAGUGAAACACACAUCCGAGAAGUAUAAAUCAAACCCGACGUGCAGUUCACAGACGACACGGGAUGGAAAGUUAAAAACAAGAAAAAGACGUGCUAGAAAUCCAACUUAUCACGUAUGAGGAGAAGGGAAAUGUAGAACUGCAGAUGUGCGAGUGAGA